rnacentral:rRNA from 1 species
CACGUAGGGGCCAAGCGUUGUCCGGAUUUAUUGGGCGUAAAGAGCUCGUAGGCGGCUUGGCAAGUCGGAUGUGAAAUCCCUCGGCUCAACCAAGGAAGUGCAUCCGAAACUGCUGAGCUUGAGUUCUUAAGAGGAUCGCGGAAGUUCCCGGUGUGAGAGGUGAAAUUCGUAGAUAUCGGGAGGAACACCAGUGGCGAAGGCGGCGACCUGGACGGACAUUGACGCUGAGACGCGAAAGCGUGGGGAGCAAACGGG